UACAGAGGUCUCAAGCGUUGUUCGGAUUCAUUGGGCGUAAAGGGUGCGUAGGCGGCGCGGUAAGUCGGAUGUGAAAUCUCGGAGCUUAACUCCGAAACUGCAUUCGAUACUGCCGUGCUUGAGGACUGGAGAGGAGACUGGAAUUUACGGUGUAGCGGUGAAAUGCGUAGAUAUCGUAAGGAAGACCAGUGGCGAAGGCAGCUCGCUGGGACGUGACUGACGCUGAGACGCGAAAGCGUGGGGAGCAAACAGG
rnacentral:rRNA from 1 species